UUUUUAUUUUAUUUUAUUUUAUUUAAAUAUCUUCUCAAGAAUUCCAUCUUCUUCCUGUCCCGAGAUCAUUAUUCCCCCUUCUCUCGCAAUGUGAUCUUUGUAGAGCGGAGAGAUUGCUUCAAUUCUCCUAGCAAUCUUCUAAUUGGAAGCGAUCCAUGUCGUGUUGCAGUGACUCGCACCAAAUUUACGCCCCUUUUGACCCAAUCUGUUCUCCAAUUCAUCGAGGUUAGGGUUUUUCUAAGCCCUACCUAGGGUUUUUCGUGGUCGACCACGGGAUCGCCUUAUCCCUCUUAAUUCUCCCCGUUUUGUAGUCCUAUCUGCCUCCUGGGUUCUUCGAAUUAGGCCUCUCCUGGUUUGGAUUCCAUGGCUUUUCACCGCCCGGGCUCGGGCUCAGCGUCGGGAUCGGCGUCGAGCUCGAGCUCCGGGCUCCACUUCUUGAAAUCCCCCUUCGGGGAUACGACCUACACGAAGGUCUUCGUCGGGGGGCUGGCCUGGGAGACCAAGAGCGAGACGUUGCGCCGCUACUUCGAGAAGUUUGGCGAGAUCCUCGAGGCCGUCGUGAUAACUGACAAGAACUCCGGGAGGUCGAAGGGCUACGGUUUUGUGACCUUUCGUGACCCAGACUCUGCAAGAAGGGCAUGCGCAGACCCAAGCCCGGUUAUAGAUGGCAGACGGGCGAAUUGUAACUUGGCUUCGCUGGGGCGGCCUCAGCCUGUUCCAACUUUUGCACGCCCCAGAUCAGUAGGCCCCUACUUCGGAGGUGUUCCAGUUACACGAGGAACAUAUGUUGGAAGUUCUGCUCAUCACCAACCAAUUCCCUUUGGCUACCAUCAAGGGUUUUCAUACCCACCAUAUGGUUACCCUACAUAUGGAUCCGAAUACAUCUAUCCACAGAAUGUCUACAGUCCUUUUAUGGGGCAGCAGUACUUCCAAAUUUAUGGUGUUCCUGGAGCUGUAAACACAGGUAUCUACCCAUUUGGGCAAUUGGGCCAGCCUGUCCCUGGUGGGCAUGGUUAUACGGCAAUUCAGGGCUACACAAUGCCAGGCCAUCAUUUCAUGCAAUUCAGUGGGCCAAAUGUCAAUGGAGUAACAUCUGCAUCUAGACCCACAAUUCAAGCUCCCUAUCCAGCAGGUGUAGCAGCACCAAUCCCAGCCCCGCCGCACUUGUUAGUUCCUGCUCAUUCUCCACAGUUUAUGCAGAGCAGUGGUUCAGGCCAAACAGCAGGUUGAAAUGCACAUCAGGGUGAUAACAUCUUGAGGAGGUAUCCUUAGAUUGCUGCAGGACUAAGAACAGCAGUACUGCUAUGUCAGUCGCAUGCAUUCUUGCCUUGCAAGCUAUCAUCUUUGCAUUCUAGAGGUUUUCCCUAGUCAUGGUCACCAGAGAUACCACAAAGUCAUCCCGUUGCUCCGACAGAUGGAGCUGAAAGCGCGAGAGCUCGGAUUGCUCAUCACGCUGCUGUCAAGUGUCUGUAAAUUUUCAUGCCCUACUGGAGUCUGUCGUAACCGGUGGAGCAUGGACGAUGGAUCCCAAAAUUGGAUUCAACAACUUGGUAAGGAUAGAUUAUGGAUUUCGGAAUUGGAGUCCGACAAUCCAUAGGAAGUAUAGUGUAAGGUAACCUUGGAAUCAAAAUGAUUCUAUGAAAAUCUAAAGCUUGCAUCUAGUUGUACCAUGUCCUGUUGUGGUUCCUGGGUAAACUAGUCUUUCACUGUAGUAAACCGUGGCCUCAUAGAUGGAUACCAGUGGUUGUCAGUCGAGUCUGUCAUUAGCAAGUUGUUCUGAACUGAAAUAAAGGGCCUGAAAACUUGGUACUGGCUCAUUGGUUGCAUAUUGGGUAUUUAUGAUCAUCUUCCCCCCUUUCUCCCAA